rnacentral:rRNA from 1 species
CCGUGCAAAGGUAGCAUAAUCACUUGUCCCCUAAAUAGUGACUAGUAUGAACGGCCAAAUGAAGAUUUUACUGUCUCUUAUAGCCAAUCUAUGAAACUAAUCUAUCAGUACAAAAGCUGAUAUAUUAACAUAAGACGAAAAGACCCUGUGGAACUUCNNAAGCAUAACCCACCAUANNAUNGGACCACCUGCUUUUAGUUGGGGCAACUUUGGAAAAAAACAAAACUUCCAAUUAAAAUUAAAGAUUAACACAUCUAUAUAACACUAUCACCCGACCCAACACAUGUUGAUCAAAGAACCAAGCUACCCCAGGGAUAACAGCGCCAUCCCCUCUUAGAGCCCAAAUCGACGAGCGGGGUUUACGACCUCGAUGUUGGAUCAGGGCCCCCAAACAGUGCAA